rnacentral:rRNA from 1 species
GACGAACGCUGGCGGCGUGCCUAAUACAUGCAAGUCGAACGAGAGCGACCGGUGCUUGCACUGGUCAAUCUAGUGGCGAACGGGUGAGUAACACGUGGGUAACCUGCCCAUCAGAGGGGGAUAACAUCCGGAAACGGAUGCUAAAACCGCAUAGGUCUUCGAGCCGCAUGGCUUGAAGAGGAAAAGAGGCGCAAGCUUCUGCUGAUGGAUGGACCCGCGGUGCAUUAGCUAGUUGGUGAGGUAACGGCUCACCAAGGCCGUGAUGCAUAGCCGACCUGAGAGGGUGAUCGGCCACAUUGGGACUGAGACACGGCCCAAACUCCUACGGGAGGCAGCAGUAGGGAAUCUUCCGCAAUGGACGCAAGUCUGACGGAGCAACGCCGCGUGAGUGAAGAAGGUUUUCGGAUCGUAAAACUCUGUUGUUAGAGAAGAACAAGUGCUAGAGUAACUGUUAGCGCCUUGACGGUAUCUAACCAGAAGGCCACGGCUAACUACGUG